rnacentral:misc_RNA from 1 species
UUUCCGUAGGUGAACCUGCGGAAGGAUCAUUAAAAAAUUGGACUCCAUUGGUGAGUUCAUUAAUAAUCCCUACCCUUUGUGAAUUUGUUUGUUUGAAUAAUUUUUUUUCCAAAAAAAUUAUUGAAUGUCUUUCCCUGUUUUGGUGGAGCUUGUAAAGUGAAACCAGGCAGGGGAAUGGCAAACAAUAAUUAUUUUUGAAAAAAGACCUUUUUUUAAAAUUAAACUUUUUGUAUUCAUUUGUCUAAAAUUAUUUUUAUAAUAUAAAAACAACUUUUGACAAUGGAUCUCUUGGUUCUCGCAACGAUGAAGAACGCAGCAAAAUGCGAUAAGUAGUGUGAAUUGCAGAAUACGUGAAUCAUCGAAUCUUCGAACGCAUAUUGCACUUUUUUAGUUUACUAAAAAAGUAUGUCUGUUUGAGUAUCAGUAAAGUAUUCUCAUAAAAAACAUUGUUUUUUUAUGGUUAUGAGUGUUUUACAACGAUAACAAGUUGUUUCACUUUAAAUUCUUUGUUAUCAAAAAAAUCAUUAAAAGCUAAUUUUAAAGAUUUUUUAAAAUUGGAUAAAAUUUUCCCGUAAAAAGGAAUAACCUAAGCAAUUUUAAAAAAUUAAAAUUGGUUUGAUUUUUUUUGAAACCCAAAGGAAAAAAAAACGAAAUUAACUUGAUCUCAAAUCAGAUAAGAGUACCCGCUGAACUUAAGCAUAUCAAUAAGCGGAGGAAAAGAAACUAACUAGGAUUCCCUCAGUAACGGCGAGUGAAGCGGGAAGAGCUCAAAUUUGAAAUCUUCAAGGUUUUACCUUGACGAAUUGUAGUUUAAAGAAGUGUUUUCUGUUGGAGUUUUGGUAAAAGUUCUUUGGAAAAGGACAUCAUAGAGGGUGAGAAUCCCGUAUUUGACCAUUAUCUCCAGCUUUGUGAUACACUUUCAAAGAGUCGGAUUGUUUGGGAAUGCAGUCCAAAAUGGGUGGUAAAUUUCAUCUAAAGCUAAAUACUGGCGAGAGACCGAUAGCGAACAAGUACCGUGAGGGAAAGAUGAAAAGAACUUUGAAAAGAGAGUUAAACAGUACGUGAAAUUGUCAAAAGGGAAGCGUUUGACACCAGUGUUGUUUUCUCGAAAAUCAAUUAAAAAAGGCCGGAUUUUGUGUUGUAUUGACUUUAUCAGCUUUCUGCACUUUUUUCUUGUCUUUUUUAAUGCACUUUUCGUUUAACAAGUCAACAUCAAUUUCUUUUGUUGUAAAAGGGUAUUGGAAGGUGGCUUUCUUUUCGGAGAAAGUGUUUAUAGCCUUUGGCCUCUGCAAUCGGAGAGAUUGAGGUCUGCAGCGUAGAUCCUUCGGGGUUAGAUACAUUUGUGCUAAGUUAUAGCCUUUCAUAGACAACUUGUUGACUAUGAUCAGUCAUGUAGCUUACUCGCUUAUGCUAUUU